rnacentral:rRNA from 1 species
GACGAACGCUGGCGGCGUGCUUAACACAUGCAAGUCGAACGAUGAAGAAGAGAAACGCGAACUUCGGUUCAAAUUUCACUUCGGAUUAGUGGCAGACGGGUGAGUAACGCGUGAGCAACCUACCUCUUACAAAGGGAUAGCCUCGGGAAACCGUGAUUAAUACCAUAUGACACAUUCAUAAGGCAUCUUAAGAAUGUUAAAGCUACGGCGGUAAGAGAUGGGCUCGCGUCCCAUUAGCUAGUUGGUGAGGUAACGGCCCACCAAGGCGACGAUGGGUAACCGGACUGAGAGGGUGAACGGUCACAUUGGAACUGAGACACGGUCCAAACUCCUACGGGAGGCAGCAGUGGGGAAUAUUGCACAAUGGAGGGAACUCUGAUGCAGCGACGCCGCGUGAGCGAUGAAGGAAUUCGUUUCGUAAAGCUCUGUUCUAUAGGAAGAAAAGGACUGUACCAUAGGAGAAAGCCCCGGCUAAAUACGUG